rnacentral:rRNA from 1 species
UACGAAGGUUGCAAGCGUUACUCGGAAUUACUAGGCGUAAAGGGUAGGUAGGUGGUUUGGAAAGUCUAUUGUGAAAGCUCCCGGCUCAACUGGGAGAGGCCAAUGGAUACUACCAGGCUUGAGUAUAGGAGAGGUUACUGGAAUUUACGGUGUAGCGGUGAAAUGCGUAGAUAUCGUAAGGAAGACCAGUGGCGAAGGCGGGUCUCUGGACAGUUCCUGACGCUGAGGCACGAAGGUCAGGGGAGCAAACGGG